rnacentral:rRNA from 1 species
UUGGUCUCCCCGAUCGAUUUCUUCACCCUCCUGGAAGAACACUUCAUUCUUCUCUUCCUCUUCCCGGUUUCUCGUUUUCACCGUCUAGUCCCACCCCUAGUUUUAGGAUCGCGACGGGGUAAGGGUUUAGCCCGGAUCGUAGAGGUAGAGAGAGGGAGUGGGGAGGAGGUGGAGGCCGGCGGCGGUGCCGGUCCGGCCGCACCACCACGCGGAGGCGGUGGGUAGGUAGAUAGGUAGUGGUCGCGGGGAGUGGUGGUCGCGGGUAGAGCGGACGGUAUGGGCGCGCGGAGGUGGGCGACCACUAAGAGGAACGGCGAGGGAAGCGGAUGGAGCGACAACAAGAAGAAGGGCUACAGGAGGGACGACGGGAAGACGAGGAGGAGACGAAGGGUAGAGGAUCGCGGAGUUGGACGACGAGGAAGGGAAAGGAGUGCAAGAACGACGACGAGGAAGAAGAGAACGGAGCGACGAGGAGGAGAUGGAGACUUGAGGAGGAACGACAACGAGGAGUGCACACGGUAGAUCGACGACGGGAACUAGAGGGGAGUUAGAAAAGAGAACGACGACGACUACGGGAGUUAGAGGACGACGAAAAGAAGAAGAAGAUAGGGGUUUUGACGACGACGAGGGAGAGAGGUGCAGGGACGACUACGAGGAGUGCGCACGGUACAUCGUCCAAAUAGAUUAGGAGAACUACUGUACGCAGGCAUAUUAAAGAAACGAUGAUGGAACGUAAUGUACUAUGGUAGUGAAUUCUAACUAAACUUUUGAUUAAACGAACCUAUACUACUAUGUAUGUGACAACCACCGUAACGAGAGUAAGGACUAUUACUGUGAAUAAAAGGAAUACGAUCAGGAUACGAAUUACUUUGUAUAGUAAGGGUACGAUCAGAACUCGAAUUACUAUUUAAAGUAGGAGUACAAUCACAGAUGGAACGACUAAAGAUGGUAGGAUUUGUACACGAAAUAUCGAUACGAAUACAUUAACCUAUGAGCUAACUACUGAACCUCCCGUAAUAGGGAUCGUGAACGUAACAGAGAAAACAACUCACGGAAAAGUCCAAAUACGAAAACGUGCCAAGUGAUGUACGACUGGUCCAAGUUCCACUGUAAGGAACCCUGGGGCCACCUAAGUGCCUUACCACUGCUCCUCUUCGUUCCCCGUGUGUACUUCUUCUCACUUCGACCUCGUACGUACUCCUAUCUCUUCGUUUUUCUCUUCUCGACGUCAAAUCUCUCACAGCUCGCUCACGAUGAAGGAUAUAUUUGGGCUUUUCACGCGUUUCCGUGAUAUUAGCAGUUCUAAAGAUGAUACACCGAUUGCUCUUAUCUCUUCCCGUACUUUGUUUAUGCAGUUCCUGAACACACACUACUGUUCUUCAUUGGUCUCCCCGAUCGAUUUCUUCACCCUCCUGGAAGAACACUUCAUUCUUCUCUUCCUCUUCCCGGUUUCUCGUUUUCACCGUCUAGUCCCUCCCCUAGUUUUAGGGAUCGCGACGGGGUAAGGGUUUAGCCCGGACCGUAGAGGUAGAGAGAGGGAGUGGGGAGGAAGAGGUGGAGGCCGGCGGCGGUGCCGGUCCGGCCGCACCACCACGCGGAGGCGGUGGGUAGGUAGAUAGGUAGUGGUCGCGGGGAGUGGUGGUCGCGGGUAGAGCGGACGGUAUGGGCGCGCGGAGGUGGGCGACGACUAAGAGGACCGGCGAGGGAAGCGGAUGGAGCAACAACAAGAAGAAGGGCUGCAGGAGGGACGACGGGAAGACGAGGAGGAGAUGAAGGGGAGAGACUCGCGGAGUUGGACGACGAGGAAGGGAGAGGAGUGCAAGAACGACGAUGAGGAAGAGAACGGAGCGACGACGAGGAGAUGGAGACUUGAAGAGGAACGACAACGAGGAGUGAACACGGUAGAUCGACGACGGGGACUAGAGGGGAAUUAGGAAAGAGAACGACGACGACUACGGGAGUUAGAGGACGACGAAAAGAAGAAGAAGAUAGGGGUUUUGACGACGACGAGGGAGAGAGGUGCAGGGACGACGAAAAGAAGAAGAAGAGAGGGGUUUUGACGACGACGAGGGAGAGAGGUGCAGGGACGACGAAGAGAAAGAAGUUAGAACGACGACGAAUAGAGAGAGAGACUUAAAAGACAUUAUCCUCUACACAUCAUGAACAUUCCAAGUCUAAACUAUUCUCGAACGUUGGACAAUUAACAGUCAAGUCUAAACACGAACAAAUCAUCAUGAUAAGUCAACUAAAUAAUCAUGAUCAUGUGAACGAACGAAACAGGACGAGUAUUAACAUGACGAACGAAGUCUUCUAAACCAGACAUCAAGAACACAGGAGUUCAUGGACACCAUAUAUUUAUAUACAAGACAACAC